UACGAAUGCUGACAGAAUGCUUAACACAUCAGCAAUUGAUUCCUGGCGGACGGGUGAUUAACGCGUAAUGAACUUGCCUCACAGCUAGGGACAACAUUUAGAAACGAAUGCUAAUACCUAAUACUGUGAGAGAGCUUUGCGUCCCAUUAGCUAGUUGGGGAGGUAUCGGCUCACCAAUGCGAUGAUGGGUAUCCGGCCUGAGAGGGUGAUCGGCCACAAGGGGACUGAGACACGGCCCUUACUCCUACGGGAGGCAGCAGUGGGGAAUAUUGGACAAUGGACCAAAGUCUGAUCCAGCAAUUCUGUGUGAUCGAUGAAGUUUUCGGAAUGUAAAGUGCUUUCAGUUGGGAAGCGGUACCAACAGAAGAAGUGACGGCUAAAUACGUGCCAGCAGCCGCGGUAAUUC
rnacentral:rRNA from 1 species